ACCAUCUAUCGUACAUGAACUCAGAUGUGGUUAUAGGAACGCCUGGGGAAAAAAUUGACGGAUCGGAGAACAGUGAGCAGAAGAGAGGUGGUAGCUGUCGGUGCGGUAGUUGAAAAAGAGGGUCGGGUGCAAUAGGGACGGCGGUAGAGAGAACGCUGCGAUGGAGGUGCAGUGCAACCUCUGCAGCUGGAUUCCCGUCCAGGGUGCAAGCGCGGACAGCAAUCCCUAGGAGCACGGCCGCCCUGCGUGGUCGGGCUGGAAGAUGGUGCGCUGAAGGUUCGUUCGAUGGGGGCCGGUGGAAUUCAGUCGCGUCGCUCGCCGUACUGCGAACCGGAGCUCGCAGGGAGAAGGGAGGAGCGCGUCACGCGGGCUACCGAUGGGCAGGUCGAGAAACUAUGGGUUCAGAUAUGAAUAGCUGAACAUACGACAGAAUUGGGUGUGCAUCUGCAGACGUAAAUUGUGCGGAUGCCAUGGAAAAGCAUGGUGAGUGAUAGCGGUACCGUCCGAGAAGACACGGUUGAUGGCUAUGGGGAGCAGCUGCGAGGCAGGCCAGUACAACAUAAACCAAGGAAGCAUAGGUGAUUAUAGUUGAGAGAUGAGGUGACUACACAUGGAGCCUAGAACUGCAAAUAGUUGCUAAAAGAACAGAAGGAAGAACCACUCUGCAGAAAAUAAACACACAGCAGCCUGUAACAUAUCCAUUAUUGCCUGUUUAUUUAUUUCAGGUUUCAACCCGGUGGCGAACUUGUGGAGGCAUCUCGAUGGUUAGCACUCCUACCUGCCUGAAGAAGAGCUGUGUGCCGCUGCAUAGCAGAAUGGGGACGAUGACGCCGACGACGACCAUUCGCGGCAGGACUUUGCAAGGUGACUGUAUGCGAAUGGCUAGAAAGCACGUGUGCCCGUAGGAGUGCGGUAUGCUGACCCAUAGCCAGACGAUGACGACGACUCGCAGCUGCUCUAUGAGCAGAGGUGCAAGGAGUAGCAGAAACUGAAAGAAAAAGAAAAACCUAGUCAGGUACAAAGCGGAAGCAAGAAAAUAACACAAAUGCAUGGAGGAAGCAGGGUGGUCGAACCACGCCACCAUGGAUCAACUCCCACAGCUGGCCCAUGCGGUUGUGGGACGGCAUGAAUAGGAGGAACCGCUGGAUUCCGCGGAGCAUGAGCAGUAGAGGCGUCGGCGCCGGCAAUGGAAGGAUGAAAACAUAGUACAUCAGACGAAGGUGGGCCAGGGAUGUCAACAGCUGCCAAAGAAGCCAGUGGCAAAAGUGUCCAAGAGUUCUGAUCUUGCAAGGAUGGCGGACGUGCGACGUUGUCCCACAGGGAGCAAACCUGGAGAAAAGCAGAAAAAAGUGAGAUGGAAACGAAGAAGGCUGGCAAUAGAAAAGGAAGUGAAGGACAAAGGCAAACCAGGUAGAGAAACAUCAAAGUCGUCUUCAGGCGACCUAGGAGCCAUGGAAGAAUCAACAUCGGAAUGGAAUACACCAGGGAAAAGAGGCUAGAUGAAAGGGGCGCCAGCAGUAGUAAACUCAUCCUGAGCACGCCCUCCAUAAGGUCGAGGCGGAUCCCCAAGAAAAAGAGCAGGAGAAGGCUGAGUAGAAAGGAAGAAAAUAACAUCUUCCCGAAGGAAAAACAAUGAGUAGAAGGAAGCAGUACCAGAGGAUGAAUCGAUGACCGGUCACUUGCCGAGCCAAAUUUGACGUCUCCUCUCAAUUUCUGCAUGUGUUAAGUCAGUCACCGAAGGCAAAAACAUCACUUUGAGUCAUGGACGAAGAAGAAGGCGCAACAGCAGCCGGCGCUGUAGGAGGAACGGCAGAGAAGAGGGGCAGAGACGCCGCAGGCAUGGGCAUGAGAUCAGAAUUUGGAGGGAGGAUCGAGCGUGCACGUCCUCGAGAACGGCCACGACCUGGAGGUCUCCCACGACGCAGACGGCUACCAUCAAAAGCACCACUCGCAGGAGGCGGACGCGGAGGGAGAGCAUGAAGGCCACGGCGGCGAGACGGAGCCGGAGAAUGAGAAGAGGACGGAGGGCGGCCGCGGCGAUGGCCAGCAAAACCGCGCGCGUCUCCAUGGACUACCUGCAAAAGAAGAAACCGGGCAACAUUACACCAUUGUAAAGCAAGGAGAAGAAAAUAGAAGAUAGAAGGCAGGAGGAAGGAGCAGACCGCAGAAGAAGCAGCACGAUGGCCGUCGUGUGUGGCGGCCGCAGAUCGGCGAGGGGGAAGACGCAUGAGCCGGAGUUUCCGUGGCAACACCCCAGCAGGAACGUAACAGAAUUAAAUGGCAAGGAGGAAAAUAAGGAAAAACCGGAAAAAAGAGAAGGCAAGGCGGUGACGGUUGCUGAAAAUGUGGAGCCAACACGUAGCAAUGGAGCAGUCAUAACGUGGCAAACCAGGCAAUUACUAACCCACGAUCACGGAGACGCCGAGGAAAGGAAAGGGAUCGAAGUGAAACGUGCAGUCUCCGGUUGCCGGUCACCCGGAUGCCUAGAAAAAAGGAAAAACCAAACCGAUCACCAACUGGAGAGGAAGAAAUAUGAAACGUGGCAAGCCGCGUAUGGAUGGGAAGGAACGAAAAUAGCUCAUGAACAGUGCGUAAAGAAAGGAGAGGACGUGAAAUCUGCAAAACUUUAUAUAGGGUAUAAUGUUGGGUUCCACAUCUCAGCUAGCUUAUGCUUGGUCUGGUUCAAAACCAAUUCGGUUGGUUGAUUGUUUCUUCUUUCCGUGUUAGUGAUUUCAUCAAUUGAACUGAAAAGGGAUGAAAAAGUGAAGUAUGUUGAGAGUUCAA